CUUUAGAAAAGUUCACUCCUUUGUCAGAUUGUGGGGUUCUGUCUCCUUUUUGGCUUUAACUUCUAUCUGAUAGUCAUACAGUUAAACUUUUCUAUUCAAGAAAACUUGGAUCCAUGCAUUUCUCUUGGGUGGUUCCUAAUAUUUUUACAGUGAUUGCUAAAGCUUUUUUCCCAUUGUAGUAUAUAUUCUGGCACUUAAAUAUUCUGAAUUGACUGUUUAAAUUUGAAGAUGUAUUUCUAUUUCUUAAAUUCUGAAUUGACUGUUUAAAUUUGAAGAUGUAUUUCUAUUUCUUAA
rnacentral:misc_RNA from 1 species